GUCCAGGGAUGGGAAACGAACCCACAACGUUCCGCUUACCGGGCAGAUGCCAUGUCCACUAAGCUACCCUGGA
rnacentral:tRNA from 1 species